CGAACGCUGGCGGCGUGCUUAACACAUGCAAGUCGAGGGGAAAGUUUUCUUCGGAGAAUGAGUAUACUGGCGCACGGGUGAGUAAUAUGUAAGUAAUCUACCCAAGGGACAGGGAUAACGUCGAGAAAUUGGCGCUAAUACCAGAUAAUGCAACGAGAUCGCAUGAUUUUGUUGUUAAAGUCAUUUAUGGCACCUUUGGAUGAGCUUGCACCUGAUUAGCUUGUUGGUGGGGUAACGGCCUACCAAGGCAACGAUCAGUAGCUGGUCUGAGAGGAUGAUCAGCCACACUGGAACUGAGACACGGUCCAGACUCCUACGGGAGGCAGCAGUGAGGAAUAUUGGGCAAUGGACGAAAGUCUGACCCAGCAACGCCGCGUGGAGGAUGAAUGCCGUAAGGUUGUAAACUCCUUUUAUUAGGGACGAAAAAAUAGGUUUAUAGCCUAUAUUGACGGUACCUAUUGAAUAAGCCCCGGCUAACUAC
rnacentral:rRNA from 1 species